rnacentral:rRNA from 1 species
GGAUGCGAUCAUACCAACACUAAAAAACUGGCUCCCAUCAGAACUCCGAAGUUAAGCUUGCUUUGGAGAGAGUGGUACUAGGAUGGGUGGCCACCUAGGAAGUCCUCUUGUUGCCUUCC